AUUCGUGCUCAGCCCAGGUGCCAAAACGAGCUGGCAGCCUCUAUGUGACCACUGUGCAAAGCAGCGUAGAGAGGAGACGGUCCCAGAGCUUCCCCAGUGUCACUGCUGCUUGUUGUGGCUUGAAAUGUGUGCCCUGCGUGUCUCCUGCACACCGUCUGGGUGGGGUUGCCUUUUGGGUGUGUUGUCUUCAAGUGGAAAUCAGAACAGCCCCUGGUGAGUGUACUACAGGGGAGGCUUCCUUGCACACCCAGGUCAACGGCCUUACUCAUGUUGAGUAAAGGUGACCCCACCAAAUUCAAUAGGACAGCUUCCAGUGGGACCUGUGGUGGGAUGUGAGCCUGGCAGGAGUCCUCUGGGCAUCUGCAGAUCUCUGCAAGACUGAGGAGAUGCUCAGGAAAUGUGAGGGGAAAAGCCUCUCCUUCCACUGGUGUGGCUGAGCUGCAAGAUGGAUCAGAAAAAGCAUGCUGCCCUGGGAUGCUCCUAUUCUUAUGCCUCCUACACCCGUAUGAAACAUAAAUAUUCUGCUUUCCUAGCACCCUUCUUAUCCCCUGGUAGUGUUUUCCUUUCUGCAGAUAGCAGAUCUUGCCCUGAAAAUUCCUCAGGCCAUCUCACAUAACUCUUCAGUACAUCAGAAAGGAGGCAGUGAAAUAUCCCGCAGCCAGACUGCCUCAAAUGAGAAAACAUUGAGGGAAGGCAAACAAAGCCUCACUUACUCUUGAGGGUUAAGUUUUCAGCUGUUCCUCACCCUCUUUGUCCUGGCUCAUUGCAACAGGAAAGAGUUUUUUAGAAACUUUUCUUGUAACUUCAACUUCCCCAUUUGAGGGCUUUGGAAGUGCCUGUGCUGAAGUUCAGGCAGACGAGAGGUGGCUUUGUUACAGUUCCUGUAAUCUGUGUAAUAGAUUCAAAUCGAUAUUUCAUUCAAAGGAGAGCUUUCUGGACAGAGCAGCUUGGAGUUUAAGGAAGCUAUAAACCAGCCCUGAUGUGUGCAUUCAAGCCUUCUUCAGUACGAAAUGCUGGCUGGGUUGGUCUGCAGGGCUGUGCUGCUGUGAAUAAGUCUUACUCAUCUCAGUGGAUCUGGGCUCUCGGGUCCUGUAAGUUAGCGGUGUUAAUCAGUCAGUUUGGUGAGUAAGGGUUGAGUAAGAGUCUGCAAGGUCAGGCUUUAAUGGGUAAUAUCUUGUGGGCAUUGCAGAGAUGUGUCCAACCCAUGCUCCGGCACACUGCAUGUAUUUUCAGCAGAGCGCUUCUGAGCCUCAGCAUAUCACAGCACCUUUAUUUCCACCCCAUUUAGAUGAGCACAUACUUCAUCAAGGUGGGUCAGAUUGUUGCUAUUUUAGCUGCACUGACACAUUCAGAAACACAAGGGAUUUUUUGCCAUGAAUCUUUGUAGCAUUUGUCCCUAUGGACUUCAAAUCUUAUGGGUGACUUCAGUCUUACUGGAUGAAUGAAAUAAUUGCUGUCUUUCCCUCUUGCAAUUUUUAUUAUUCCUCAAUCACGAGAAACUUGCCCGAGUUAGAGAGCUUUUCUUCCAAUUAAACAUGGACGGAAUCACCCAAGAACAACACAGGAACAAUGAUUGCCCAACACGUCAGGUUGCUCAAUGUACACAAUCACUUGUCUUUUCUUUGCUCCCACACCACAUACAGCCAUGCAUCCUGCACACAUCACGCUGUGGGCUGCUAAAGGCAGCUGCAUUUGGCCAUUAUAUUUGUUGCUGCACCAACGCUUCCUCAUUCAGAAUAUGGGAAACUCAACACAUACUGUAAAUGACAGCAAAAAAGUGUUUUCUAAGUGUCAUUACACGACAAGAAAGCAUUUGGGGACAACAUUUUCAUUGAGUAUUUCAAGACUUGCUCAUGUCAGAGUUGCACGCUUACAAAGCUUAAAGCAACCUAACAGUGACUGCAAGCAUUGUUGUAGAAACAUGGAAUCAUCUUUGGAGCCUGUUUGGGACAUGGGAAGGAGGGGAAGAUCCAUCUGUCCCUACAGAUGCUGCUGUUGCAGUCCCAGGUGCAGCUCACAGAGCCCUCACCAACUCCUACAGCCUCGUGUGCUCUGCGUUCAACAGUCACCUUCACUCUGACUUUUCCAGCCCACCACUCAAGGCUCCGUGAUGCAGCUCAGCUGUUAGCACUGUGCAGGGGACACCUGCCUCGGAAACUCACACCCUUGCACUGUCCAUCAGAGCUGGAGUUUGGCAAACUCCAGAGCAUGCUUACAAGGCUGUUUUUGUUCCUGCAAGGCUCCCGGCCAAACAUUUCAUCCCUGUUUUCUUUGUCAGAUGUCUUAGGCCACGUCUUCCAUAGGGAGGACAAGCUAUUAAAUGCCAUUUUAAUUUCUGCACUUUUCACCUGUGGCCGGACAGGACAACCUUCUACAAGUGACGUAUGGAACAAAGGGAUGCACCCAAACACCGCAGCACGCCAAUACUCUGCUUGCUCCAAGGGGUCUUAGACCAGGGGACAGAGCUUUGCUUUUUGAGAGGGACAUCAGAUUUCAGUUUAAGGAGCAGUGAUGGAGCAGAGUGUGCUUGACUUGCUCCGGGUGUGUGUGAGGGCUGG